AUGUGCAAACAGCAUUUCUGACCUUCCCCUCACUGACCAACUCAGCAUUAUCAGCAAGCUCUGUCCUCUCCUGAUCCACCCAGCAAAAAAAGCAGUGGCAGAGCUGAUCAGUCAAGAAAGUGGCUGCUUGUCCUUCAUAUCCACUUCACUCCAAACUUACUGAAGCACUGGAAACCUCAGAAGCAGCUAUUCCAGUUGCUCACAAUGUGCUCUUUGUUCCGUGCUUGGCUUAUCUUCGAGCACAAUGCAAUCUGAAGGAAGUACACCCACUCCCUGAUGUUUUCCUUGGGAGCCAGAAGUGUGUGUGCAGCGUUUUUUGGGGCAGUGAUUUUCUCUACACACCUGUUACUACGGGACACGAAAUAAUACAGCAUGGACAUGCAGUUUUCUCAAGUUCACUUUUAACGCCCAGCAACAGAGUGUGAGAGCUGCUGGUGCUCAGAGGUACAGAUUCCAUCUUAUCUGGUCUUUUAUCAUCUCUGCAUGAAAGAAACAUGUUUUAACCCAGCUCAGGUGGACUUGAUAGCUCUAUCUUUGUAGCCUUUUCUACAGUACUCCCCAAUGGCUGAUAAUAAUAUGUACUCAACCACCUUUAGGCCACUGUUGGGUCAAAUUGGGAAAAAUAUAGUAGUUUCCAAAACUUGAAACCCUUGCAUAGGUGACAAGAGAAAAAAGAAGUGUAAAUCCAGGCAAAAUUCUGGAGGUGGCCAGCAGGUUUAGUGGCAAUCUGAGGGGGAUUCAAUGCCUCUUUCAAAGAGGGUCUGCACACAGAUUUGCUGACAGCCUGCACCAUUUCUGCUUUUCUUGUUGGGAGUCUGCACUUUCAGGGAGAAUCCUGCUGCCUGUGGAGG